CCCAGAAGGCUGCGCUUGCGCAGUGUAGUUCUCCUAGUGUGGUUCUCCUUACAGUAGUUCUUACAGUUGUUCUUCUUGUAGUCCUCCGAGUUGUCUUCUCCUUGUAAUUCAUUGCCCCAGUCCUCUACUUUAGUCCUCUUUGUGCUCAGUCAAUAUAACUAUUAUAAUAACCUACAAUUCCGUGCUGCCGUAUAAAGAGUGUGAUCAAGUAGUAGUAGAGUACAGUACAGUAGUUCCAGUAAGAUACCCGACGGCGUAGGUGAGACAACAUAGUCAUUGGCGCCCAACGUGGGGCUCGAACCCACGACCCUGAGAUUAAGAGCCUCAUGCUCUACCGACUUUACUGCCCGACUAGCUGCCCAGCUGAUGAAUCUCCCACCGCUCCAUUUCCCUGCGUUGGUUGCAACAUGAUAGGAACGUGGACAGUUGUUUGCUGCACUGGAAAAUCUCUGUACGGAGAAGAACAUGCUGGCCAGCCAUGUCUUGCUGAAACGACGUGACGAUUUGGAGCAGGAUUUCGCGGCGUCCACAUCCUAUCAAAGGAUCAUCUAGAGCACUACUUUAAUUUCUUACUUUUUAGACGGGAUCCAUGGACUAUAACACAAUAACUUUUUUUUAGAAAACUGCCAUAAAGCAGUUUUUAUUGCUAUAAUAAAA